rnacentral:rRNA from 1 species
UACGGGGGGAGCAAGCGUUGUUCGGAUUUACUGGGCGUAAAGGGCGCGUAGGCGGUCGUGACAAGUCACUUGUGAAAUCCCCGGGCUCAACCUGGGAACUGCAUUUGUGACUGCACGGCUAGAGUGUGUCAGAGGGGGGUAGAAUUCCACGUGUAGCAGUGAAAUGCGUAGAGAUGUGGAGGAAUACCGAUGGCGAAGGCAGCCCCCUGGGAUAGCACUGACGCUCAUGCACGAAAGCGUGGGGAGCAAACAGG